AUCCCUGUAGCGCAAUGAAUAGCGUGUUGGACUUCUAACCCAAAGGUCAUGUAGAUUCGAAUUCUACCUGAGAUA